AGCGGGAAGUAGUUUACUACUUUGCCGGCGAGCGGCGGACGGGUGAGUAAUGUCUGGGAAACUGCCUGAUGGAGGGGGAUAACUACUGGAAACGGUAGCUAAUACCGCAUAACGUCUUCGGACCAAAGUGGGGGACCUUCGGGCCUCACGCCAUCGGAUGUGCCCAGAUGGGAUUAGCUAGUAGGUGGGGUAAUGGCUCACCUAGGCGACGAUCCCUAGCUGGUCUGAGAGGAUGACCAGCCACACUGGAACUGAGACACGGUCCAGACUCCUACGGGAGGCAGCAGUGGGGAAUAUUGCACAAUGGGCGCAAGCCUGAUGCAGCCAUGCCGCGUGUGUGAAGAAGGCCUUCGGGUUGUAAAGCACUUUCAGCGAGGAGGAAGGCCAAUAACUUAAUACGUUGUUGGAUUGACGUUACUCGCAGAAGAAGCACCGGCUAACUCCGUGCCAGCAGCCGCGGUAAUACGGAGGGUGCAAGCGUUAAUCGGAAUUACUGGGCGUAAAGCGCACGCAGGCGGUUUGUUAAGUCAGAUGUGAAAUCCCCGCGCUUAACGUGGGAACUGCAUUUGAAACUGGCAAGCUAGAGUCUUGUAGAGGGGGGUAGAAUUCCAGGUGUAGCGGUGAAAUGCGUAGAGAUCUGGAGGAAUACCGGCGGCGAAGGCGGCCCCCUGGACAAAGACUGACGCUCAGGUGCGAAAGCGUGGGGAGCAAACA
rnacentral:rRNA from 1 species